AAGUCGUAACAAGGUUUCCGUAGGUGAACCUGCGGAAGGAUCAUUAGUGAAUAUUAGCGCAUCUCUUCGGAGAGCGUGACCUCCACUUUCUAACUCUGUACAUUUAUUUGGCGGCUCUGAAGAUGUAACAGUCUACUUAGCUGCGGCUCAUUUUAUAACACUAGUUAAAGUAUGUAACGAAAUAUCGAAACAAAAAAAAACUUUCAACAACGGAUCUCUUGGCUUGCUC
rnacentral:misc_RNA from 1 species